UUUCAGGGUGUAAGCUAUUUGGAGGAAGGAUCGCACCUCUGGAUCCAUACUGUAUAUAAGAAAUCUUCGGAAAACUGAGAAAAUCUAUCCUCCAACACUGGAAGACGAUAUUACUGUCAAAAUAAAUAAUCAGUAUUUGGGAUAUCUGGCUUCUUUUCUCCAAAUCCUCUGUGAAUUUAAGCAAGUCAUUCAGGAAGCAGACUUUUGCAACAAAGAUGGAAACACCUCAGAGGAAUAUGUCUUCAGCCUAAUGAGAAGGAAUACCUUUCAAAUUCACUAAGGAAAGUGGGAUAAAUCCUUUCUUUUGAAAAAUGGAUGAAUGAGAGCUAAUUUUUCUUCAGCUCUCUCCAUUUAUGUAGCAAUAAUUCUACGGUGUCUGAUUUAUUUAUUUAUUUACUUAUUUAUUUUGUUUCCUUCAAGUUCUCCAACUGUCUCUUUUCUUUUUUUAAAAGGUUAAGAUGCCAGCAGUAAAAUCAAUUGCCUCUUUAUCUGUAUCUUGUUCUCACAGAAUAAAAGGUGCAAGGAAUGGGCUUAGAAUGGUGGAUCACUGCCUGUUCAGUACAACUCUGUGAUAAUUUCAGGGAAUACUUCAGAAAAUCUUAUUGGACACUUACUAACAUUCUCAGAAGUUGGGUGCUUUGAUCCUCUUGAAUAUAACAGGGUUUAGGAAUCUUUGAAUAAUAUCAGAUAUGCAAAUGCCUGUGUAAAUUUAAGCACUGUUUUUUAACCCAGUAAAAUCAGUGAAAGCUACAACACUACAAAAUCUUUGUAGAUGUGACUUUAGGCCCUUCAGUGUGUCAUGAAACAGUGUGGGCUGUUUAAUCAUGAACAUGGUUUAGAAAAGGAUGUCUUGAAUGCGAGUAUACCUUGCUCCUGAGAGUGAUAUCACUGCUGUAUCAAAUAUCUCAUAGUCUCAUCAGUUUUUUACCUAUAAAUGUUACUUAUCUAUGUUCAGCAUCUUCAUGGAUUCAUAGAAACCUAUGAGUUGGAAGGGACCCUUAAAGUUUGCCUGGUUUAACUCCCCUGCAACUAACAGGGACACAUAUACCCUCUGUAAUCAAAAUAUUGGCAGAUGUGCUUACAAAUGUGGCUGUUUUAAAAAGAAUGGAAGUAAUGUAAAUAUGUAAAUAAUUAAGAAUUUACUUGAUCAAAAUAUGCAUAUUUAGUUAUUGAGACCUCUUUUCCCAACCCAGCUUCUUCAUGAUUUUUAAUACAAUUUUUGAACAAUUUCCUCUAUACCAAGAUUUUGUUUGUGAUGAAACAUAUGAAGGUUGAAUACAAAAUUCCAAAUAUUCCUGCAAUGCAGCAUUUUGGUGGAAGACUUAAAUCCCUGCUGUGUGGUGUGAUAGAAUGCCUUCUUCCCUAUUUGUCCCUUUUUCUGCGCUUAAUCACAUGACAAACUCAUGACCAAUUUACUUUUCGCUGGCAUGCUGUGAUUUUCUAGGAUUUUGGUUCUAAUUGAACAAGAAAGUUUUAGACAGUUUCCCGGAGUUACAGGUUUGAGUGACCAUCUGGGGGGCUGAAAGAGUCAUUAAGUUUUCAUGUCGCUUCCCCCCAUUGUCUUUCUUUAGACAACCCAUAAGGAUUCCAGUUAGCAACUUUAUGUAACGCUGGAAUGAUUUUGUGUGUCAUGGAAACACCUGUCUGCUGAGAAGAAAACUGAGGCUUCCAACUUAAAAAAGAUAAGUAGCUCAGCAGAGAUCUGUCAGUUAGGAGCAAUGUUUGCUCGUAGCAAUCUGGUACAGGCAGAUUCACAUCCAUGAGCAAAACCUGAAGUAUGCAGUUGCCUGAGCAGCCUGUUUGUUCGGGGAAAGCAGGUUAGCAUACAGCAAAAUUUUCUUUAUCAGGUCAUGGAAUAGCACUGGCACAGCUUGGAGAGUGCUUGACUAUAUUUCUAAUGCUCUCUUUCUACAGAAUUCUCAUCUACACCUAACUUAGCUUUUUCUGUGGAGCGCUUGUAUCUGGUGUGGAUUAGGGUACAUCCCAAGAACAAUCAGGGCUAAAAUGAAUCUUUCCCUUCAGAGGGGUCCCACCUUCAGGUUUGUUAGCUGAUUUCAUAAUUAAGUGGCAAAUUCAAAGCGUUAGAGAGAAAUGUAUUUUAUUUGUUUUCACAUUUGGGUUUCCUAUUAAAGUCAGAUUUGUUUUCCUCCUUCAGAAUCAGGCAGAUCCUUUGCAUUCAGUACCUGUAGUGCUGAUUUGCUUGGGAAUUGGCCUGUCAGUAGUGAAUUUCAAUGUUUUUAAUGAAUUCUCACCACUUAGUCCUCCUUCUGUUUUUCUAUUCAAUUGUUCUGAUUUUUCAGUUUUGUCCUAAAAUCUUGUUCAGUGUCUUGUGUUUACAAAAGCUGCCUUCUACUGCAGUGACAGCUGCAUUUCAGGAAGUGGCUUUCCUAUCAUUUUCUGGUGUAUAAUUUCCAAAGCAGCUUGAAAUCAGGGAAAUAUUUUUUAUACAGCACCCUCUUAAUUCCAGGCCCUCUCUGGAAAUGAUAGAUUCUAUUUCCCUGCCCAGAGGGCUUCUCAGUAACUUUUAAGAGUAGUGUAGAAGAGCAAUGGAAAUCAGAAUGGGUAGUGGAAUCAGAAAGCAUUAUGGAAUACGUGGAGAUGAACAGUUGUGCAGUAAUUCUUUCCUUUGGCUGAUUAGUUCAGAUAUAUAAACAGGUGUGUCGGAAAUAAUGUCCUGCAGCAACAAUUAUGAGGGCUGCUCUGAAAGUUAUGCCUCCUGUUUUAUGAUUUUCAUCAGAGCUGGAUUUUGGUGAUGAACAGUAGAGGCUGAAUCUUCCUGCCAGUAUUCCAUUACAUUUUGUUGCUGUGCAACAGAUGGCAGCAGAAGGGCAGUCUGACAAAAUGGUGUCUGACAUGGACACUUACCCAAAGCAAAGGAGAAAUCCUCCAUGCAGAAACAACAGCACCCCUUGACAAUCAUCAACAGUUGCUGAACAUUUAUGGAGGCCAAAUAAUGAAUAUGUAAACAGGGAGGUGGUUGGUGAUGUGUUUCAGCAGUGAUGACAGUGGGACACCUCUGCUGGUGGAGACUUCCACAAGUAUGGCAUGAAACAUCUUUUUCAUCACUGCUGAAAAUGCAGUAAUAAUGGUGAUGGCUGUGUUUGAAAAAACUGUUUUGUGCCUGAGGAUUUUCUGCCUUGAAUAGUGUUGUUGUGCUCUUUGUUUUGCUUGUAGUUUCCAGGAAAAUAAAUAGGAAGCAUUACUUUUGGAGCCACCUAAAUGAUUAUUAUGUAUGUUGUGGGAAUGAUUAGUGACUGAAGAAAGAAAAAGAAAAAUAUAAUGAAGCAAUAGAGUGGAAAUAGCAGAAAGUAGUCCUAGUGCAUCAAUUGGUUUGGAAUAUGUCUAUGUUUUAGGUGUAUAUCUGAAUUUUAUGCUCCAGGACUUCCAGUAAGUUAGGUAUGUGUUGAAGAUCAGUUUUGCUAAGUGGCUGCUCUAAUUUUGUACUGAGUCCUUUGAAAUAUUUCUUCUGGCUAAGAUUGGAAGAAAUUAGGAUUAGGUAGGCAGAAGAAAGGAAACUGAGAUUUGAGUCACCUUCUUUCAGUUUUGGAACAAACAGCAACAGCCCAUGUUUUAAUAUUUUUCCUGCCUUGUCCCAGCUGUAAGUUGUGCAGUCAACCUCUGAACUGACAGACUGAAAACAGUGCACGGCAUUUGACCCUUAAUGCCAGCAGAAGUAAAUAGGCAGUGGAAGGCUUGCAAUUUUUCCAGUGUUUUUAGCCUUCUGUCAGUACAAGGUACCAAAUUCCUUUCUAUUUUGGUGGGUUUUUUUCUAUUUUUUUAAUUAUACAGUCUUUGUCUUGGCAAAGAGAUUUGCAUUUACUUCUCUUUUGUAGAAUUUCUGUCCACAUAUGUUAUCAGCUAUAAAAAGGCAAGAGCAGGAAAUCUUGUCCUUGACUUACCCAGUAGAAUGAAAAAAAAAAAAAAAAAAAAAAAAGAAAAAGCUGUUUCCUAUGACUUUGUUCUGUUGGUAAUUGCUGUAAGAAGGCUGCCAAAAGGAGCAGUAUCUGUCUUCAGGUCAGGAUAGUAAACUGUGGUGUCCUGUCAUACUCAAGAAAACACAAUUUUUAUUUCCUGUGGAGAGAAGUAAAGCGGAUAUUCAUUCUGAAAGCGAACCCUGUGAGCGGGGUUAAUGCACUGAAUGUGGGCGAGAACAGCAAGGAAGACAGGGUGGCAUGAUGAGAAUAGGCUGCUGUGUUUGAAGGAGGCUCUGUAGCCUCCAUUACUGAAUCUCAAUUUAUAGAUUCACAAUUUAAAAGUUAAGCUUUUGGUCUGGACUAGUUGUUUCAGAUCAUACCACUGUGAGUGGUAAGAAAGGGACAGAUUCACCUCAAGAGGGUCAUUAUUACCUGAAAUAUAAUUAUUAAUACUUGGGAUUUAAUACUUGUUGGAUAGAAUGAUUGAAUCAUAGUAGCAUUUCAGUUAGAAGGAACCCUUAAGAGCCAUCUGGUCCAAUUCCCCUGCAAUGGACAGGAACACCUAUACUUGAUCAGGUGCUCAAAGCCCUGUCCAGGCUGGAGUGCGGUGUUUCCAAGGAUGGGGCAUCCAUGACCUCUCAGGGCAACCUGUGCCACUGCCUCACUGCCCUUAUUGUAAAAACUUCUUCCUUUUUAUUUUAUUUUUUUCCCCCUUCUUUUUUCUUUAUAUAUAGUCAAGUUCUCUCCCUUUUAGUUUGAAACUAUUUCCUCUUGUCCUGUCACAACUGCCCCUUUAAAAAGUCUGUCCUCCCCUUUCGUAUAGUCCCCCUUUAGAUACUUGAAGGUCACUACCAGGUCUCACCUGAUAGCAGAGUGUGAAUAAUUCUUUUGAAACUCUUACCUGCCUCAAUUGCCUACAAUGAGAGCUUAGAUGGUAGGUCUUUUAGGCUAAUAUGUAGUUAAAACUUGGUCAGCAUGAUGUAAGGAUGCAGCUUGGACAGUGCUGAAGUAGAAUCCCUGCAAAGGCAAAACUUAGGCAACAGGGCUCAAACAAAGGGUCACAAACUUGUGCCACAAAUGUCCCUUCUGCAAACUCUGUCCAGCUUGAGAUGCAGGAAAAGCUAUUCUUUCUGCUUUCAGCUUAGCUGGAACACUGACAGAUCCCAGGGACAAUAGGAUCAUACCACAUUCAUCAGGAAAGCACAAAGCAACGUGAGUUUACCUUAAUGCCUGGAUAAUAAUAGUAAACUAUGGAAGGUUAAAGAAAGAGAGACUGGGGAGAGGAGAUAGCAAUCCUCUCUCCUGCCUGGUUUAUAUAAGCAGCACUUCCUUUUGUGCUUCUCCGUUUACUUGGCUAGUGAACUCAGGGCUCUUUGUUUCAGCCUUCUUUAAUCAUUGCUAAUAAGGAAAUUGCUCUGUAUUCUUUCACUUACGCUGCACUAACACUGAGGACACGGAGUAUCCAGCUAAUAUAUUCCAUGGUUAAUUAGCCCUGGAAAAAUUUGGACUUGAGUUACAUUUCUUUCCUCUGGAGGUAGAUCUGAUGCAGGGAGUAACUGAUUGAAUGAAAAAAAAUGUGGUCUUAUGGCUUCUCCUUUUGGUCCUAGAAAAUGAGCAGUAGUGAACUCUGGAUCUCUGUGUCCAUUUUCCAGUACCUGACAAUCUAUACAAUUGAGAUGCCUACAGUGAAUGGUGUAAUUUUCUGCAUUGUUUGUUCUGGAAGGAGAAUAGAAUUUUUAUAUGCCAAGCAUCCCUAGGAGAUGGCUGAGCUUGUCAUUUUUGCAUGUAGUGGUCUCAUGUCUUCCCAGCAGCACAGACAAAAGUGUAGUCUGACUUACCUCACAUACUGUGAACAAAAUUUACUAAAUGUGUUCUACACUACAGCAAGGGCCGUGCACUUAUGCUCAGUUUUUUCCAAGUCUUCUGAACAUUAAAAUGGCUGUUCCCUUCAGGUAAGCCAUCCACCAGCCAUCGAGUGAAAAUGACUUUCAAGUAGGUCAUUCAGUAGCCGUUGAAUGGAAAGGCUGUUAAUUUAGUUUAGAUUGAUACUGAUUAUGCCAUUGUUGGUAGCCUCUUAAAAACUCCAGAAGGGAAAUUCAGGUAGUCUUAGGAUAACUUCCUCUCAUGGAGUCUUUUGGGUCCAAUUAUGUUCCAAUCACCCUUACACUCAAAAGUGUUUAAAACUGUUCUAGUCUGACUCAGAAGUGUGCAGAGAGACUGGCAGGUUUGGAUGAGUGUGCUGGAUGUAAGUUUAAACACAAAGCUAAACUUAAAAGAAAGCCCUAAACUUACUGAUGUCUAUAGUUAAUCAUGUACCUGUGGUUAAAUGGUGCUCAUGUGCUGUAACAGAUCUGAACAUUGGGUCUAUGAUCUUGCAUACAUGUGAUAGAAGUCCCAUACCUGAAGACACCCAAGGUCAGGCUGAACGAGGCUCUGAGCACCUGAUCUAGCGGUAGGUGUCCCUGUUCAUUGCAGAGGAGUUGGACCAGAUGGCCUUUAAGGAUCCCUUCCAACACAAACAAUUCUAGGAUUCUAUUGUAAAAAAGUGCCAAUAAUUUUUCUGACUUCCAUGCUCCUUUUCAAUAACUUAUAGAAUUACAGAUUUUUAAUCCAUAAUGUAUAUCUUUUAGUUUUGCUGGCCAUGUUUUACCACCAUGAUGUCCAAAAACUGAAUUCUCAAAGAAAUAAUAUUAACGCAAUUUUGCUUCCAUUCCCCAUUGCUGUUACUUCAGGCCUUGUAAACUGUGGUUGUUUUGGUACUUGAAGUAUGGCAUCACUGUGGGUCUAUAGCAACUCCCUUGUGCGAGAUCAAGUCUUUUUAUUUUUCUUUUACAAUGGGUGAGAUGUGUUUAAUUUAUUGUAGGAAACUCUUAAAGAUGUAAGAUCCUUUUUAGAGGCUUCUACAAUAGCCGUGAAGCACUUAUUUAAUCCCAUUGAAUGGAGGUUAGAUUUACUAGCUGGGCUAGACAUGAUUUUUGUUCAGGAGUCAUCUUGGAGUACAUCGAAGUUUAAAGAUCUUUGCAGAAAAACCACGGAGAAACAAAAGGAGUAAAUUUUAAAAGGAACUUUGUCAAGGAGUUUUAGAUGUUAAACAGAUAGAAAAACCAUGGUGGCUUGACUGAAGCGAGCGUUGGGUUAGCAGAAUUGUUACAGAUCCAGUGAGACAUGCUAAUGAGGCACUUUAAAUGCAAGUUUGAUGGAAAAAGGGGCAAUUUCAUACCGAAGUGCAGCAAGGUUACUGAAUCAAAGAAAGUACACUUCAGUUCUGCAAAAGGGAACAAUGCUUCAUUGUCAGAUCCUUUUUCUUUUGACUUUAAACAUGUUUUAACUACACUAUUUACUAAAUUGUACAAUGUGGCUUGCCCACUGAUUGAGAAUUUAUGACCAGAAACAAACCUGUUAGGGAAAAAAGAAGGACUGAGUGUGAUCCAUACUGUAGCUGCAUAAAAUGGUUUGAAUGGACUUAACCUGAGCACUGUGGGGGGUGCACAAUAUGUUUUUCAAGCCCAGGGGCCUAGGAUCUGAGUUCAAAUAGAAUUUAGUCUUUCAAUAACAAUUUAAAAAAGGGAGAGCAUUUGGAGACAUCUGUGGUUUCUCAACGUGUGUUAAUGUAGAUGUCUCAGUUUUGUCUGCUUCAGAAUUGUGCCUUGUCAACUCAUCCAGCGUGUGAAAUUCCUCAGAUUGCAUCAUGCCCGAAAUUCACAAGCACCUUGUUUUACUUCCAGUCAUUACUUCCAGCUCUUUUGGUGAGAAAACUGAGGCUAACAUCAACUCUUGCUCCUGCUUCCAUGGAAAAUCAAUGUAGAAAUCUUUAGCUUCCAUGAAGGAGGGUCCGGGCUUCUUUAUGAGCAGCUUUUGGGGUAAAUUUUUACACCUGGGCACAAUGUAAUGGCCUAGUUUUUGCACACUGUUUGUUAACAGAGUGAGUAAAAUAUAUUUGAAGUGUAAAACAGACGUUGCCCUCAUUUAGUUUAGGAGAAUUGCCUGGGAUAAAUUAUAAAACCUGUUACUUUGUCUUGCUAUGACAGAGCCCCAGAUCUAAAAUAAUCUUCAAUUACACAUUAUUUAUUUAUUUAUUUCCAGGAUUGGAAACUUCAGAAUGUUUCAGAUCUUGAGAAAGGUUGCUCAGCUGGUUUCUAGCUUUAACCUGCAGUUUCGGCUGGAUCCCAAAGAUGAUCGCAGUCAGUAAAAGCAAACAGGACACUAGAAUGGAAAAAGUUGGCAGUUCCUUCCUCAGAUCUCUAGACAGAUUUUUAUAUGAGGUGUCAAAAAUUACUUUAAUUGUUCUCCGCAGUUUGCUGCCUUUCAUUGGUAAGCUUCUUGCCCAUUUUAUAUCCUAGAAGGAUUGCCAUGAUACGAUGGUUCAACUCAUACUUUGCAAAAUGAACAAGGCAUGCUGUAUCACUGGGGAGCCUAAUAUUCCGAAGUCUUUAUGCAAGAUUUUAGUAAAGCACAUAGAUAAAAUGGGAAAGUUCAUUUGUAAAUUGCAUUAAAAGAAGUCCAUAUAAAAUAAAAGCUAUUAGGUACAGCAUCAGCUGGACAAGAUUAGCUACAGAUCUGUGAGCACAUUUUAGAGAACUUCUACAGUGCUGUAAAGUAGGCUUUUCAUUUGACCCUGCAAACUUGUGAGUUGGGUUUUCAGGAGGUGUUUACAUUUGGGACUGGGAAUUCUGUAUCCUUCCCUCCAUCAAUAUGUAUCACGAGUAAUUGCAUCUAGAUACAUGUGGAUUCAUUCAGUAACAGCACAUCCUUGCAUGAGUUUGUGCUGUUUAAACAUCACAGGGUAUGUAUCACAAAUGACUAGAAUGAAUGUUUUCUGACUGCGUGCAUAUACUUUGUAUCAUGGAAAAUGCAAAGAUCUGGAUAAUAAAAAUUGGAAACUAGGUGGCAGUAAUAACCCAGCCAUACAGCUCUCCUGUGAGUGAAGAUGGGAUGACUCAUAGCUUUCUGAGGAAUCCUGAGGGUCCUGCUGUCCCAUGCGGUCCCAUGGCUUAGCUAUUAAUGAGUAGAGAAGCACAGGGCUGUGUGUUCAUGUGGGUUAAUUUAUUUGAAAGCAGAAGAUGAUUUGUUUUAAUUAAAGAGGGGUAACAAGAAGUGAAUUGAAAAUUAUAGGUGAAUUAAUUAAUUGAAAGGAGCUUGUUUAAUUGUUAAAUAAAUUAGAAACAAUUUUCUUCAUGCAAUGAGUGGCAGAAGAGGAGGAGCUGUGUUUGCUUCUGAAACUUGUUACUUACGGUUGUGGCCAGGGGCCAGCAAGUGUUUGAGAGCCCAUAAGGAGACUGCUGUUCACAUUGAUGGUUAUAUACAGGCUCUAGGGUGGUUAUUUCUCUCAAGCCAGAGUAAGAUAAAAGCGCUGUGAGUGAAAUCAGCAGAAUUACUCCGUGGAAGGACUAUUAUUGUCUCUAAAGCCCUCAGAAGUCCAUGAUUAACAUCCUCACUUAUUUAGAGGCAUGAACUGAGGUUACAGUCCUAGAAGCAUUAGACAACAGUAAGAUUUAUUGGCUGACUUCAUUGUUUAAAAGCAAUACUCUCUCCUUAGAUUCAUACAAUUUAAUUGCAUGUGCAAAGAAGAAUGUGAUGUCCUUUUCUGGUUAGCAGAACUGCUUGUGCGGCAGGACUGGGCAGAAAGGUUUGGGGAAUCCUUUCUCCUGGAUGUGGUUAUUUGUCUGUCAGCGCUGGAUAUAUGUCAUAUUUUCCUUAUUCCCAUACAUUGUUUUGUUUGAAACUGGGUCACCUAAAUUUCCUCAGAGCUGGCUGAGCUGCCACAAACUCAUCUCAUUUCAGCCAACAUUGCAGACAUUUUUUCUGGGUUUGAUUUCAAUUUAUGUAGCUCUUCACACGACAAAGCUCUUUUGAUACCUGCUUCUUUUGCAGCUAACAGUUCUGUGCUUCAAGAGAUCUUGCUGAGGUUUAAACUCAGAAGUCGACGGCACUCCUGCCUGUAAUAUAAUAAAAGUUGAUGUGCCUCCUCUUCUAACUCCUUCUAUAUCACUUUUUUUUCAGUCUGACUAGGAGUUACCAAUGAGUCAAUGUCAGCAUCUGCUACUUCUCCUUUUAUUUAUUUAUUAUUAUUAUUAUUAUUAUUAUUAAUGUUUUAAGAUAUUUCCCCACAUCCAUUUGUGUUACUACUCCUACCCUUCUGAAAAUGGGUUGUAGGAUGUGAUGAGGUCGUGACUGCAAGAUAGAGGAAAAAAAGCCCAGGUUUCACACGUUAUCCAGACAAUUCAUAAAAUGCCUCUGUAGAAACCUAGCAGUAAUAGAAAUGCAUUUUGUCUUUGUUGUAGGAUUGCUAGGUAGGUGGUCACAGGACUAUCUGAUAGAUAAUAGACAACAGUUGAUGGUGAAGUUUUACCUUGAAAUCAAUAGCUCACUUUGCUUUCUAAACUAUUCUUGUUUUCCAAAGCUUCCAUUUUCAUUCCCCUGGGCCAAUCUUUAUUUGCAUAAUAGCGAAGUCUAUCUCAGUGCUCUCUGGAAAGCGUGAUAAGACUUUUUAAUUAUUAUAAUUUAUUUUUAUUUAUUUGCUUAUAUAUAUAUGCAUGUGUUCAGGAGUUUGUUAUGUCAGGAAAAACUGGUAAGUCUUUGAGGCCAGAUGGAUUUUAACUGCCUCCAAACUAGAACUCCUACAGGGGUGGAAGGGUUCUUGACCUACUCCUAAGGACAUGGGGAACAGGGUAUGAUUUGGGGGUAACUUGCUCAUUGGUGAGUCAUGUAAAUAAGCACAGCUGGUGCACAGCAGCAAUCUUCGCCUGUCUGGAGUAUAGGAGCUCUUAUGUGGUUAUUCUCACCUCUGCAGCUAAGAGCUUACUUAUAAUCACCAAAACAAUACUUGUGAAUUUUUUAUCUGCAUUUUACUGCUUUUAAUGAUGGACUAUCAGCUCAUUCUUGCUCUUCUGGAGGCUUAGAUGAAAAACUUUUCUGCAGUUCUGGUAGCAUUUUAGAACACGUACACUUGUGGACUUUUGUCCUGUUGUCUUCUUUUGAUGAGCAGAGUUAAAGGCUGAUUGGAGACAUGCCAAUGUUUUAUACUUUAAAAAAUGGAUAUAUUCCUACAGAAUUAUACUGUUGUGAGUUCCUGUUCCUGUUGCAAUUUAAAACAAACAAACCAAUCUGUGAUAAGUACAGUUAUCAGCAAUAUAGGAAAGUUCAUAGCAAUUACUUUUAUAACAUCACAGAUCUGCUGCAGGUAAUUAACAUGUAUUGCUUUAAGAUCCUGGUACACUUUACACUUUACUAUCACAUCAUAAAUAGUAGGAUAUCUGCGAUCUCUUUCAUGUUUGUGUCUCUGCUUUUGCUUUUCCUUGGGUGUUUACCAGAUGACACUUUCUGUCCCUUAUUUUUUUUAUAGCAGCCCCUUGAAUGCCAAAGCUCCUGUUGCUGGAAACCUUACUAAGGAAGGAAUAAAAGAGCAUAUGUAAUUUGUAGGUGAUGACCUCAUGGAGAAGAGGAGACCUGUUGUAUCAGGAGAAUUCAGUCUUCAGAACACAAAGGACAGCCUACAACUUCUGCUGCUUGCCACACUUGCUGCUCUGGGGUAGUGGCAGAGGGCAGGGCCUCUGCAGAACUACAGAUCCACAUGGGAGCUGCCAUGGAAGGAGAUAAGAAAUCCACCCUCCGGAUAUGUAGAAUGAUGUUGUUGUAAUCGCUCUUCAAAGGGAGAUCCACGGUAAACAAAUGUUAGCAUGUCGCCUCUGCAGCUUCUCUUGUGUCCUUGAUAAAACUGGACUAUGGGUAUUGUUGGCUGCUAUUACGAAACGUACCAUAUCAGGAUGGGUGAGCUGUCUCCAGCUAAGGCAAAUUAACCUGUGAAGAAACAAAGCAAAAUGCAAGUCAACAGCUUCUUGAUUUUGCUUAUGAAAAUGAAUUUCAGGUGCAAAAUUGUGAUCUAUGUAAAUUAAAUGCAGUCACUCAGUAUCAGAAGAUAACUCACUUGGGCCGUUUAAGGACAGAAGCAAGAACAAAAAACGUGCUAGUGGUCCAUACUGCAACAUCAGAUGAAGGUGGUAGAUCUGGUGGGCCAGAGCUGUGAUGCAAAGACAGAGCAUAGAAGAGUUACUUGUGGAAGAAAAAGUGAGCAGAGCCUUAUGUACAUACAAUGGUUUUCUGCAUAUGUUUGGGUCAAGCCACUUGCCUCUCCUGGAGUAAAAAAAAGAUCCACAAAGAGAUACAGGAGAGACUUUGGGUUUCUUCAAGCCCUUGUAAGCAGAGAGCUAUUUCUGUUGUUGCGAUGUUAAAGGAUACUUGCCUACUUGCCUGGAACCAUCCAAACUUUCCACUGAACUAUUAAAAAAAGGAAAAAGAAAAAGAAAAGCACAAUAGAAUAAACUGGAAAGAGCGUCUCUGUGCACAAAUGUCAGCACAGUGCUGGGCAUGGGAUUUGUAUUCAGACAAAGUCUUGCUCUUUUUUUCUGGCAAAAAAGCAUCUUACUUAAAACCAAAUGGCUUAUAAAACAAUGCAAAGAGACUGGGGAAGACCAUUUUAUUGUGAAGAACUUAAAAUGAAAAUAGCAACAUGUGAGAACUUUCAGUGGUCAGUGAUGGGAGCAGCCACAAGACGUUUUGGACGAUGAUCAGUGGGGACUGGAAACCAUUUAAUGGAAGCUAAAUAUCCAGCUCAAAAUAAUAUAUAUAUAUUCUCAGUUGUUGUGCUGUGGCCAGCAUGCAGCAAGUUCAGAGAUAACCAGCUCCCAACUCUCCAUCCCCCAACCCUUCAUCACCAUCAUUAGUCCCAGCUGUGAGCAAAAAGACUGGUGUAUGAUUGCCCUAGGAAAUGAGUUAUCCUUUCGCCUCUAGAUGAGCUGAAACAUAGUGAUGCCAUCAUUAGUCUCAGCUCUGUGAAUAUGCAGAAAGCCUCAAUAUUCUGCUGAAAUAGGAGGUGGGGUUCAGAUCCACACAGGGGGUAUCCAGACCAGGAAUUUUUUCAGCCUUCUUCCCCAGGGCAUCUGGUACUGCUUACGACCAGAAGUGCCACCAGAGGCACAAGAGCUGUGAGGUAGAUCAGGGCUCCAUCUCUGCAAUUAGGGAUGAGCUGUUCUGCCCUCACUUUCCCUUCUCUCCCUUUCUCUUUUGCCAGUCUAAAAUGUAGGCUUCUUGAGGCCUCAGCUUGCUCAUUCACUCCGCACUCAGGCUGUGAUCCACCAUGUGCUACCAUUAUACAAAUAAUUGCCUUCAAGCUUUUUAAAGAACAGGCCCAAAAAUAUAAUUCCUUAGACAAAAUACAUUGGGAAGAAGCUCUCAAGAGUUGUCCCAGCCAGGAAAGCAGAUGCGUGUCUGUUUAUUGACCAUGUGAAGAGCAGUGCUGAGGAGAUGGACAUUCAUUAAGGGGCACAUUCUUAAAGCUUUACUUCUUCCUUUUAUUUUUAUUUUUAUUUUUUUUCUGACAUUUGCAGUGUUUUGUACUCUCUGGCAACCAGCAGAGCUCCACUGAUGCUGACUAGCAGAGCCCAUAGAGAUACUAAGGAAAUAUUUUUCCUAGCAACAAGCGUCACACAAAAACAUGAAGAAACGUUUCCCCUGCUCAUAUUUCCUUUCAGUUUUUUCAGUCAUCUGGUGCUGAGAUAAGAGCUGCGUGGUUAAACCUGCUGCUAGUUUGUAUUUCAUAGGCAAUCUGGAGCACUGAGAAACACACCAAGCCUGCCAUUAGGGCAGUAUGGGGCCUAAGAUGGGUGCCGUGCCAGGCUGGGCAGGAGGGUAGGUAAGCCAGAGAUGCUUCCUGAGGCUGCAGCCUACAAGCAGGGCCUUGCAGCCUUCCUGCUUGCCUGCCUGAGGUGUCAACACAAAAUCUGCCUUGGAUGAGGCCAUUUUGGUGUUUUGAUGAAAAAAAAAAUGCGGUUACUGGAAGCAAGUUUGAGUCCCACAGCAAACACAUAAGUCUUCCACUGUUAACUUCUCCUCUGCUUCUUUGAAAGCCUGAGUGGAAAACUGGGAACAGUGUUUCAUCUUUGUAUAUCAACAUUUUCAGUAUUCUGCCUGCUCUUUGGAUGCAGCUUCACCCUCGUAUAUCAGUACUGUCUGAUUUCUGCCUGCUAUUUGGACAGGACAUAAGCAUUAACUUUAUUUCAACUACAGUGUAAUAUUUGGGAAUUGUUUUAUUAGCCAUGUGGGUGCAGUGACUGAUACUUGUGUCUGCUUGUGAGUAACUCCCCCUUAUUUUCUGUCCUUGCUCAGCCAUGCUGAAACUGCGCACAGAUGUGAGGCCAACAGCAGCGACAGAAAGGCUUUGUCAACACCAGCAAAUCACUGAAUCUACCUCUACAAGGUCAGCUUCUGAAGGCAGUGGGUCUAAGACCACAUCUCUACAACUGCAGUGAAAUAGAUCCCCAAAAGAAUUUGAUGAGCCUGUUUACAAAUGCACUGCACAAUCCUCUCUACUCAGGGAACUGCUGUUGAAUUCUAGUUUUGCUAGUCCUAAAGGAGUGCUGAACCCGUGUGCUUCACAGUGGUUAACCAGGAAGAGGAGGAAGGAUUGUCCUGUUGUGAGUAUUAUUAAGAGUGUUCCAGACAGUUUGUAACAUCGUCAUUGCUGUACCCAGACCUCAGGGCUAGAGCCCUAGAUUAAAAAUAGUAGUCUGAAGUGAUUAGAAGGUCCAUGGGAAUGGAAGCUUUCAGAAGGAGGAAGGGUCAGGUCUGUCUUGGAGAACUCAUCCCCACAGAAGCAAGAGGGAGGCUGCGCCAGUAACUCCUGUGGGAGGUCUAGCUGGGAAGCCAUCUUUGGCAGCACAGCCCUACCCCAGGAUUUCAGCCCAUCACAAGGACUAGCUCGGCUCCUGCCUCUAGUGCUUCAGUCUGCUUGAAAACUCAGACAUCAAUAAGGCAGUUAAGUUUAUAUAUUGAAUCAGACAAAGUAUGGAUUAUGCAGAACAGCCCACCUCUGCUUUCAAGCAAAAAGAGAGACAGUUCAACAUAUACAGAGUUUUACAGGACAGAACCCUUGGUAUUGCAAGAGUUCCUGACACCAGUGAAUGAGUCCAUGCAGCAGACCAUAAACACAUCACCAAGUCAUGAUUUUGGAACAUCACUUCCUGCUGAUACCUGAAUAUUAAUUCACAUUUUUUUCAUUGCUUGGGAUGUCUACAGCUUUAUACAGUUUUGAACAGGACUGAAUAUACCGUUGCCCACUUUUGAGCCACAGCUGAGUGGAAUUCAGCAUAUUGUACGCUGUAUGAGUUGGAGAAUAGGAGAGUUGCCCAGGGAGGUGAAGGGUAUCAGGUGUGCUGCUGACAUGUGUUUGCUCAAAAGAUGCUUGAAUCCUGCUGUCCUGAGCACGGGAACACUCAUGGAAUUGAAGGAAUGUUGCUUGUUCUCAUCACCUAAUGACUGAAAACCCUCUCUGCAGGCUCCUCCCAAAGCCAUGCAUCACUGCUCCUGCAGGCUUGUACCUCUCUUCCCAGUCUGCUCCUGAAUUCUGUCUCUGCUUCUCCAUCUGCUAACUUUUUUCUACAUAAAUCCCUGCCCCAAACAAAAUCGACAAUGCUCCCCGCCCAGAUCUUUUAAAUUCCUGAGCAACAUUGUAUUCACCUUGUUUAGGGCAGAAACAUGCACUGAACUGUUUCUUAAGCUCAAAAGGGCUAUGUGGUAGUUAAUCCUACUAUUUUCAAGGAGGCUGAACUCAGUUUAUAACAAAGCCAUCAGUAAAAAUGUAACCACUUCACAACUGUGUAUGUGUGCGGGUGUAGUAUAUGGAAAGGAACUCGCAGAAGAAUUGGCCAUCUUUUCAUGAAGUUCCAGCAGGAUCCACAAUCAGGAUGAGAACUCAGUUCAGUUCAUCUCAGUUUCACACAGGAAAAAGUGUGUAGUUCAUAGCCAUUUACUCUGCUGGGACUAUAGAUUCUGGUGUCCUUAUGGUUUCUUCUUUGGAUAUCAAGCCCCACCAUUUAGGCUCUGUACUGAUCCAGAUUGGGAGCCAGGAAGGCCAAUAGUAGUUGUGAAGUUUAGGCAGUCAGCCAUGUGCAUCUUCUGGGCUGGAACCAGCCUCCACCUGGCCUGUUUGGAGGAGUGUCUGCACUUCUCUCAGUUCACAGACUAAACUGUAUUGCAAGCCUUUGCCUUCCAGAAACCCUGGCAUUUGGAAUGGUUGGGUGACCUAGGGAGGUCUCUCUUAUGAUUCUUUGCCAUAAAAAAAACUCCAUUACAUUACACAAAUGCAUAAAAUAGUGUUUAUUGAACUUGAGUGUGUCAUGUAUGUCAACCCCAAAUUAUGCUGAUGUUGAUGAUCUUAAUAAGACAGCAUUUUAAGUUCUGAAAGGGCUUGUGCAUGAUGCAUUCCGUGGUCACUUGGAAGUAGGAGUUCUGUGAUGCAAUGUGGUCUCCCAUUAGCAGCAGGCAUGUUGUGCAAGGGAAGGGAAUGGUUAGGAGGCACUCCAUAACCUGACGUCUUCUUAAAGAGUUUAUGUUAAGGUGAGUUAUCAUGCAUAGCCAACUCUAAGGUCUUCUAAAUGAAAGUUCUGUUUAUAGAAUAUCCAGGUCAGGAUUAUAGAUCUCUGAACAAAUCACCAGGUAUAAUUUAAAGGAAAAACGCUCAUUAUAUUUUCCAGCCAAUCUCUGUACUCCUUGGACUUCUCACAGAUAAACACAGAUAUUAUCUCUGAACUAAUUGUAACUUAUUUAUUAUAGCAACUUUGUUUUUACCGCUAGCUUGAAAUACACAUUGGUAUUAAACAUUGCAUAUAGCAUAACAAACCAGUUAAUUCUGUCAGUUUUGCACUGCUGUGUUCAGUGGAGCUUUAGAAGUAUUUCCAAAGAAAUUUCCAACCCUCAUUUACUCUUUGUAGAUAAAUUCACUUUGCCUUUUUCAUGCCACUUUUGUGGUCAGUUUAUAGUCGUCAUCUUCAGUUCACCAAUGAGAAUUUCGCAGGAACGGAGGGGUUUCUCAACAUACCAUGGAAUUUUUGAAAACCAGAAUCAAUUUAAUCUUUGUCAUAUUACUUUGCAACAAAAACCUGUUUCUGAGAGAUAAGAAAAGACAACAAAACAGAAUGGAUUACCACGUGACCUAAUCUUCCUUUUAAAGAGGAAGCACAUUUAUUUUAAAUUGGAUAUUUGUUAAUGACUCCUUGUAAGGAAUUCAGAAACUAACUUAGAUAACUUUGAAAAGCAAUGCUUUACUAAGAGGGGAAAAAAUGGAAAAAAGAAAUUAUGUCUUAGUAGGGUUAACAGGAACGUUUAUAUGUUCUGUCGGUAAAGCCAAUUACUGUAGUCAGUACAGUCGGUGGAACUUAACUAGUAGAUAUCUGGCAUAGUUAAAGGUGGCUUGUAACCCACUUGCACGGUAAAGAGUAAGACUAGGACUGAAAUGUUCAAUUCUUUCAAUUAAAGCCUUUUAUCAAAUGCAGUAAACCAGUAUAUAACUUUCCUUUGAGAAAAAGGCCAAGAUGGAAAAAGGUUAAUUAUACUUUUCAGGUAAAUAACAUUUUCCUGGCAGGAAUCCAUGUUAUAUUAAAAGAAAAAAAUGGGCUACCUUUCUUAGUUUUUAUUUUCCACGGGAAGUGUAGGGAAAAAUGCAUAUAGAGGGUUUUGUUUUUUUUCCCGUCACUAUUUGGUGGUCCUUCCUUACAACUUUUAACACCAAAGCCAUUUCUCACAUCUGGUUGGAACACAGGUCUUUAAGACAUUCGAGUAAUUCAAAUCACAUGGAAAAAUCUAAGCUACGCUGUAUGAAAUUCAAGAACAAUGUAGUUCUUAUAGGGUCUGCAGCGUGCCACCUCUUUUAAUCAAUAACAGCCUCGGUUUCAGUUUAUCUGCAAAUAUAAGACUACAAUUAAGAACGAUCUACUGCGUUAUUUCAGUACUCAGAAUAGCAAGUUACCAGAUUAGUCACACUUUACAACUAUAAUAUUCUUAUCCCUCUACUCUAGAUGAAGUUCACAGCAAUAUAGUCUGUAUCAGAUUAUGGUUCCAAUGGAAAAUAUUGAAGAUCACUAAUAUCAAUACACAUUUCCUUAUCUCAACCAUUUCUGGCUGCUUGUAUUGACUUUCAUUACAUUCCAGCAGUUCUGCUUAUUCCCAAAUGGUUGUCAUUAAUUUCCAUUAACUAAGGCAUGACUAUACAUAAUUUAAAUUGUUUCCAAUAAGUGUUCAAUUAAUGUCUGUUAUCUGCAUUUAAUUUCCAUUGAUUCCAAAAAGCUACUGUUGAGCUUAAUUGCCACCAUAAUUAAAACAGUUUACCAUGACCGUAAUUGGGUCUCCAUUAAUACCAAUGGACAGCUACAAGGACUGAUUACUCUCUUACUGUCAAGCAGUAGGGAGCAGUGCUACACAGAGUUCGCAAUGCAAAUGAAUGGCUACAAACCCAAACAGCUGCGGCUGAAGUUGACCAGAGAACAGUAUUUACCUCAGCAACAAAUGUGUGCUUUUCUAGGAUACCAGUCCAGAUGGCCAGAAAAUAUUCUAGAGGUUUCUUUAGGCUUAGUAUGGGAGAAUAAAAGUGAAUUACAUCAGACUGUUGAAAGUAGCACAGCAUUCUGACUUGAAAUUUGUUCCACUUCAAUUGAAAAGUGACAGCUGACAAGGGGAAGUUCUAGACCAACAGAAAAAUUGGUGCAAUUCAUUUAAUCCUUUUUUUUUUCCCCCUUAUAAUUUUGCCUGUUCAAAUAAGUGCCUGACUAAGAACUGGGAAGAAAAAAUAAUAGUAAAAGAAUAAAACCUUUUUCUAUAGAACUGCUUCAGAUUGUUGGGGGGUGUACUACAGGUCCACAGCAAUAGCUUAAAUUCAUUGAGAUUAGAUCACUUUAACAUAUUGUUAGGUAUUCUACAUACAAGUCAGUUACAUUUAGACUCUCAGAAAAUGCCGGUUCAUGCGAACAAAACAUGUGCUUAAGAGCGAUGAUCUUGACUAAUGUUCCCUUUGAAGAGAUAAACAAAAGAAUCAGCUUGCUGAAAAUUAAAUGUUACUACAUUUUCAGAAUGACAUUUUCAAUUUUGCAUUGCAAAAUGUUUUUUUCCUGUUUUCCAUACUAUUUCAAAUUGAGAUCUAAAUGGAAUAUUUUCCUUUUAUUCAAAUCACUUGAUUGACCAACAAGUAUUUUAUUCAUAAUUUUGCUUUGUAAUGGCUUUCUGGAUUGUUUUAUUGCUUUCAUUAGGAGUGGAAGUAAAAUUCACCCCUAAGACAUUCCCUGAGAUGAAAAAUCGGGAUUUUGCUGGGCUUCAGUUAGAGUACUUUUUCACUAGCUUCACUUUCCGAAUAUGUUCAAAGCCUUGUCCAAAGUAGAGCUCAUUAAAAGAGACCAGUCUUAAAUCACUGAGAGCAGAGCUUUGGUGUCAAAUAUUCUGUUUUGCAAAGGAAAGGCUGCUGCCUUCUAGCUACAAAUACUCUUGUAAGGUCUGCACUGCCAGUCAGAAAAGACCUCCAAGCUAGUCCUGUGCUAAAGUUGUCAUACAUCCCACACUGUAUUGUGGUCAAACUUCUUGUCUACUAUGAAAUGAAAAUGAGUAUGACUUUUCCAAUAUUUUUAUUACAGUCUACUCUUUUUUAAUAGUUCUGCAUUUGCAUGGCAAAUACAACAGAUGUUGAUUUGGGGCUGGAGAGCUUUAAAUUACCACUGGACCUAAAAGUCCCCAAAUUUGAAGACAAUCCUGCUAGCUACUUAUAAUGAACUGUUAUUUCAUUGUAGUGAAUGUUAAUUGUUUAACACCAAGUUCUCAGCACAGGAAAAUGUGUGUCUACCUCCACUAUCCCACUUGUGCCCUCCUGUAUCUGUAGUGCCCAACCAAAAAAGGAGGAAUCCCUUAGACUUGAUCAUCCUACUGUCCUAUAGACCUGGAAUCAGUAAUGUCAGAACAUCCCUGCUUGCAGCAGUUAUAAAAUGGCUUAUAUGCCGUCAGGAUGUACUCCCACAUAGUAGGCAUCACUGUGCACCCAGUCCUUCCAGUCCCUGCAACACCAUCAAGUUCCUAAUUAGAGAAUUUCACCUCGUACAAGAGUGUGAGCUGCCAUAGCAUUAGGUACAAGGUAGUACCCGGGGGGGGGGGGAGGAAAGUUCCAAUCUAAACUCAUGCCCUUCUUUCUUGUUUAUGAGAGAGUUCUUAGGGUGGAGUAAAUUAAACAAAGGAAAUUAUGUUAUGAGAUCAGUUGAAUUUAUCUGCAUAUCCUUUCUGGUGCAAUAAAAGCUGACCUUUUUUGGAUCUCCAAAUGAAAUUUGGAGCAUAAUUGAAAGAAAAAGUUGUAAAGACCAAAGGUUUUUGUUUUUUUAAAUACACUGCCACCAGUAUCUUGCAAAUAAAGAGUGUAAGCUCAAACAGAUAGAUGACCAAAUGGCUAAAAUGAUACUAUCAGGGCCUUAACAUUUUGCCCUGUAAUUGCAUGGUAGCUGGAAGAGUCUGGAGUAGGCAGACAAUUGCCACACCUCUGCUAUUCUGCUAAAAAGGAAGAAGAGCACAGAGGUGUGUUUUUUGCCUUGGGAAAAAUCAGAUUGAUAUCUCAGCUGUUGGUUUCCAUAUUGCCUCCACAUCACAGAAAAAGCAUACUGCCUUGUGUCUACUGUUCAGUUACUCAUCCCACUAAGGAAUAAGCAAGGAGAGAGGAAGACAAAAGGACAAGCAAAAUGCUGAACAAGUCAGUGAUCAAGUGAGCCUUCAUUUGUUUUGAAGGCAGACACACAAUAUAAGGGACAGCACUCCAACUGCAUCCUGCAUAAGAGGAGGUUUGGCUCUGCUGCAGCUUAGAGCAUAUCACUGCAGCCAAGUCUCAAGGUGACAAAGUCUUGGACAACAGUUACAAACUUUGCAUCUGAAAUAAAAGAGACACCUUUUAAAACCAAACCCAGAUGUUGAGGGUAAUGGGCUACAGGAAUAUCCAGGAACAGCUGAGUCUCUCAGGCAGCCCUGACAUGCAAACCUGCAUAACAAGGAGUUUAUGCACACUCUGUAGAGGACUGAUACUGUAAAGAGCUGAUGCAAAAAACUGAACAAAGAAAACCAUUGUGGUACACCAUAAAGAAGAAGUUAUCUUGGUCUCUUGGAGAAUUGUCUCUUGAAACCUUAUCUAUUAAUUACUUACACAGACACAGAUAUCAGCAGUGAUGGAUAUUAUCUGUUCUUCCUUUUGAUUCUUUCCCUUUCAUGCCAACAUUACAUCUGCCAGCUCAGGUCUAAGUCUCUCCAGCUAGGCCUCUUUCAAGGUUCUGUGUCAGCAAGUCUUCUGUGAGGCAUCCUCCAGCGAUUAAGCAUAGAAGACAGGAGUUCCAUGGUUUCUGGAAUAUUAGAGUUUACAUAUCUAAUCUCUCAGCACAUUUAGUGAGAGAUCUGACAAUUAAUAUCUAUCCAAAGGACUUGGUCCUUAGAGAGGAUGUUCGCUAUUUCACACCAGAAUCUCUCAGAAAGGAGUCAGGUCUCUGCUUGGCAGUGGCAUUUAUCUCAAGUACUAACUGAAAACGUGACAUUUAUAUUUCAUACAGAUCCUCUGUAAUAACCAACUGAUAAUGCAGGUAAACUUUAUUUCUAAAUCAUCCCGGAUCUUCUUAUUGCCUCUGUUUUUUGUUGUUGUUUGUUCUGUUUUGUUUUGUGGAAGAGAGAUAGUCCCAACCCACAUAGAUGUUUCACUCCAAUUUUCUCCAUGGAAACCUCUUUUGUGUUUUUGAAUACCAACCAGCUUCCCUUCUGGGAGUAAGAAUCCCAUGUCCCUUAUUUGCAGCAGAGAUGAGAAUUUCAGUCUCUUUUUUCCUCAAAUGUACAGGUGAGAAUGACUUUAUCUAUAGUCAGAAAGCAUGUGGAAAAACCUAUUCAUAGAAUCAUGGAGUCAUUAAGAUUGGAAAAAGACCACUAAGAUCAUCUAGACUAACCAUAUUGAAGGCAAGCAGAACAAAUUGUGUGCUAAAUAUGACCAAUAUCAAAGUAGAGCCUACUUGAUGUCACAGUUGCCAUUUGUUCCAGUUAAUGAAACUCAUCUUGUGCACUGAUAUGACAUGAAAGCAUAAGAUCCAUGUCUUUAUGUAAGUUCCCAAGUGGCAUGUUCAGUGUGCCACUUACCAACUGUAGUAGCAACACAGAGAGCUGUUGCUAUGAAGAGCCAGAACCGUGUUCACAUACACACACACACACACAUAUAUAUACAUUGCUUAAUUAAAACAAAAGCAAAGUUCUGGAAGUAGGUAUCAUAAGAAACGAUGUGGUAGUCUCCAAACUCAGCUGCACAGAAGUUUAUCCAUCCCCAGAAAAAAAGGUCACAAAUAACUUCAUGUAGACACUCACAGUGAGAGCAAAUGGCUGCUCCUGCCUCCAAGAUUACGAUGGCAUAGCACACGUGGCAUCUCCUACUUGUGCUCACAUGCCUUGAGCCCAUUUUCCUAAAUAGUGUAACUGAGAAAUCACAGGCUGUAACCAACAUUUUGUCACACCACACCAGAUAAAGAUAUAAUUGUUUGUCUUUUCCCAUGUGAAGAAUUUCUCAGCUUCUCUGAAUAUUCAGAUUACCACUAUAAAAGUAACUUUGCUCUGUAUCCUCCUGAAGUUUAGAACCCCAAUGAUUUGACCUUCAUUGAUAAAAUCUGCCAGAUUUUCCAGGCUUGGAAACCUGGAAGCAAAACACAAGGAUUUGUUAAGGACUGCGAUAGGCUUGUGAGCAGUUGCUAGUUAUUCCAGUGGCAUAGCUCAUGCUGUUUUCCUUUCACACAAAUUACUCUGGAAGCCCUACCCUGUGGGUCAGGUGUUCUCAGGAGAUAAGCAGCAGUAUGAAAAGUUUGAGAAUUAAUCCCAUUGUGCAGUAAACUUGACAGAUAAUCUACUACUUACACUUGUAACACACCCAGUAGAGUUUAGCUGAUUUACCAUUGCAUUGUUAAACAGCCAGAGUGGUCAAUGUGUCCCUCCCAGUGCUUUUCAGUGGUCCCAUUUUACUGUAACUAAAUGUGGGCUGCACAUGCAUCUUCUCACAUGUUUUUUAGCUUUGCACAUGCAGACAUUCUCUCAGCCCUGGACAAGGAACUCAGGUGACACUGUCAUGAAGGAUCCCUUUUCCAGCUGGUUUCCUAUGGCAAAGGAUUCCCACUGUGCAGAUCUUGUGGGGAUUUGGCCAUGAUUGUGGUAUCCAGCCACACAGCUUUUUUAGGCCCCAGGUGCCUUUGGGCAAGCACAAGACUUAUAAAGUUGAAUUCUUUAAAGAUGGAAAAAAGAUUAUUCGAUGUUUAAGUACCUUUGGGGCUAGACAUCACUUGAGCAAGGGUUUUAAGGAUUUGCUUUCAGAUGAAAGGAAAGGUACUUGAAUGUAACUUUUGCACCAAUUUAAAUUCCUAAAUCUAUUUUCUAACCCAACCCUUAGUCACUAAGGCAUCUGAAUGAACGCAGAGGUUAAAAUAACCACCUUUGAUAAUUCCUUAAAAUUCCUGAAUGAAAAGUACUCCUAGGAGAUACAUAAAUGAUUUGCCUAUUUCACACAGACCAGAAAAUCAAGAUUAAAUUCCAAGAAAAAAAAUGACAUAUCACAACAUCAGCUCAAACAGAAGGUUCCAGCUGUUCCAAAUGCCACUAAACCACAAUGAUUAUUGCAAACAUAAAUAAAGCAAAAUCUUAAUCCAACUUUAUCAAGGAGUAACUCACCAUAUUUCUCCAUUCUUCUAGUAGUUCUGUGGGAUCACAUUUUCAUAAGCAAGAAGAAAGAUGGAAUAUUAGCUGCCACUUUCUCUCAUGCUGUAUGAAAAACCCCAACACCUAUGAAUUCAUCUAAUGAACAACUGAAGUUGGGCGACUCAUAUAGGGUAAAAAAAUAACCCGUCCAACUGAAGUCUAAAUUAUACCCCUGAUAAGUGGCUUGACUUGUGUUUGUUUUGAUUUAUUUUUGUUUUUUUGUUUUUUUGUUUUUAGUGGAUGGUGUCACUUCCUUGUGACCAAGCGAGAGCUCUAUGGCUGUUAAACAAAAACAAACAAACAAAAAAACAAAAAAAAAAACAAACAAAAAAAACCAAAAAAACAAAACAAAACAAAAAACAAACAAACAAAAAAAAAACCACCAAAAGAUUGGAAUUUUCUGAAAGGUUUUACAGCUUUAAUAGUCACUUCCCGACUGACAUUUUGUGUUUUAAAAGCUAUCUUUAAAGAACUAAAUAGGUGACAAAGCAUUCCAGAAUCUGUCAAAGUAAAAAAAAAGUCAAAGCAUGGAAAUGCAAACCCAUUGCGUUUACUCCACACUUUUUGCUUGUGGUGAGUGAUUUGGAUUGUUUCAUUUGCAGACUUAUGCCUCCAUUCAUUCCAGUUACAAAAGUGCUGAUAGCACCUUGUCUGUUCUAGUUAGAGUAGCUCUUUCUCUGUCCCACCAAGUUGAAAUGAUCACACAAAAUUCCAUGGCUUUUUUUUUUUUCAUUUUCCCUUCAUUCUGUUACUUUCCAAAACAUUCUCUGAGAACCCUAAUCACAGUUCCUUACAAUACAGAGGGGAGAAACACUACAGUUGGACACUGGUUUAAUUGUUAUUGUAAUUCUUUAGCAUUCCAAAAGACUCCUUACCGGUUAGUAAAGAAAGAUACUUUUACAGAUACAAAAGAGAAUGCCUGCAGUGGGGUAUGGCAUGAGGAAACCUGAGCUAUCUGGACGUGAGUCCUCACCCAUUGGAGCAGCUGAGCCAUUAAAGCAGGACUGUUUGGGUUAGGAGCUUGCUUCCUGGAUAGGUAUCUACUGGGUCCAGUGCCACGUCUCUUCUUGAGAACUAAUGAAUCCUAUUUUGGAUAAGAGCAAUUUUUGAAAGGACUCAUGCUUCUACAUUUUAGAAGUAUUUUUUAUCUCUUGCCUUUAGAUGUGUAACCUGUAAUUUCCCUGUGAUAUUUAUAUUGCAUAUGUUUAUGUGCAAGUAACAGGUUGCAAAGGUUUGAAAAGCAAAUAUGAUUUAUUUAUUUUACUGGACCUGUCAAGGAUUUAGUACAGAGCACUGGUGUGGGCUGCCCUAAGAGGUUGUGGACUCUCUGUUCUUGGUGAUAUUUACAAGCCAUCUGGACAUAUAUUGUGCAGUGCGCUGUGGAUAACCCUACUUGGAUAGGCAGGUUGUACAAUAUAACCUCCAGAGGUCCCCUUCCCACCUCAGCCAUCAUGUGAUUCUGUGAGAAAUACCAAAGUUGAAAUAUUAGUAAAAAUAAUAAUAAUGAGUAGAUUAAUGGGCUGAGAUAAGAGACAUUUACUGAGUUCUCUGGAAUGAGAGAACAUUCCACUGAGCAUUCCAAAUCUACAAAUCAAGUUCCUAUGUGCUCAGGUAGUGACAGAAGUGUUACUCUGGGACUACGGGAAUGAGCAUAACAACACUGAAUGGAAGCUGAGUAAAAGAAGAGAGGUUUUAGUAGCUCUGUCACCACUUGUCCAGAAUAAAAUUGCUGCUUUGGACUCCCAUGUUGAUUCAUUUUUUUCAGUAAUAUGAGCUGUCUGGUAGAUUCACUGUUCAUUCCUUUUGCAUAAAUGGUCAGGUGAAAGCUGGAGUACACAAUUUUUAUUCCCCUCUGUGAAAUACAACUUCUUGACAUUGCUUAGUAUUUCACUCUUCUCCUGUUAGAAGCAGCUUAUAUAUUUAUGUUUGAAUGACAAAGCAGUUAUAGAGAACAAUAUCUCCUUCAAUUUUUCUGCAAACUAUAUUGUUCUUUAUUAUGAACACAACAAUAAGGUUGUGUUCAUAAACAUACUGUUACCAAUAUAAAUAAUUACGAAACCAUAAAAAAAUAAAUGCACACAAUAACCAAAAGUAUAAACCCACCACUACUAAAUAGCACUUCAUAACUGUGGCUCUGAAUUAUUACUGCUUUACCAACGCAGCCACAGUAUCCGACUUCAUAAAACUCUCCGCUCUACAAAUUAAAUGAAUUGGAUAAUUAAGAAAGCCUAUGUUUAGUCCACAAAGGGAAACCACCAUCACUAUAGCAUGAAAAUGAACCCACAUUUUAAAAAAUGGUAACAUUUCAUUUCCUGGCACGCGUGAUCCAUACCUACUUGCUCUCUAUCCAUUUUUAGCUGUGCGUAUAGGGAAUUUAGAAACCAGGCAGCUGCUUUGCUUCUCUAGACAGCUGAAGAGGUGCUACCAAUAACUCCAGGUCUAGAUUAGAAAGUCUUCAGGAGUCAGACUUUGGCCCCUACCCAACUGCAAGACACUUAAUUACUAUCAGGAAAUAGAGAACUAGAGACUGAGAGGAGAAGGUCUGGUACAAAAGACACGGGCCACACAGAAGUGCAGGCAUUGCACCAGGACCUGUCACCCCCACCGUUACAGCUGUAGACAGUUCUUUGACUCUGCAUUUUCCUUCCUCUCACUAAGUAAUGCCAAUUAUUACCCCUAAAAUAUGUCGGCUGUAUGAUGCUGCCUGAUUACCUUCAUUGCAUUAGCCAUAGGAACAGGGCAAAAACACACCUAUACAGAUGAUGUCAGAGAAUGAGACACGCAUGUUUUAUUGUGAACGGCAUCUCCAGAACAGUUGCUGGCACUAUGCCAGUUGCAUUUGACUUGUAACAUCUCAACAUUUGCCAGCAGGAUUUUUUGCACUGUAUGCAGAUGGCCGGGUGUUAUUCUCCCUCCACCCACGUGCCUGAGUCCAGUAACAGCCCUGCUCCUGGCAAAAUUCAAUCUUUUCUCAUCUCUCAACCCAUGCUCUUCUUUACAUUCGUUUUUAAUUAAUCUACGGUUAGCUGAAGCUCCCUCCAUGAAUCAAUGAUUUCCUUUCAAUUCUUGUUAAAGAUUUUUCAUUUUCAUAAACUUGCAGCAUGUUGCUGAGAAUCAACUAACAGCACAUUUUUCUCUCAUUAUCACAUCAGUGAGGAAUGGACCCAAUGAAGCAAAAAGAGCAAAAGUAUGGCAUCAAGGACCUCCAGGCCCUUCUAUCUGUUCUAUACAAUCUCAGAUGCUGCAAAUGAAAACAUUGUCUUUUGCCACCUUGAAAGCUAUGGGACUGAUUCUUUCUUGGUGUAAAAUGUUAUAACUAUGUUGUCACGCAGGCAAGUUGCCCUGUCUUACACCACCUGCAUAUUUGAUAGCUCCUACUCUUUAGCUGUACUUUCUAACUAAGGGAACAGCCCUCAGUGAAGCUGCCCCUCAAACAGGAAUUGCAAGAGUUUUCUGUGACUGCAUUGUUUCUAAACGCAAGUUCUUCUGUUAUUUGAUGAAAGUCUGAUCAGAGUGGGAUUCAAUUUACAAGCCUUUGGCAAAUUGAAAACAGUCUUCAAAAUCCCAAGACUUUCUGAUCACAUUUGCUUUAAAGAGAGAUUCAUACAUUAUGUGAAAUAGAGCGAUGUACUGUAGAUGGCAUGGGAGGAAAAAUCACUGUUUAGCCAAUGAAAGAAAAUGCAAGACAUUGUGCAUUUUAAGCCAGUUCAUCAGAUCUGUGAGCUGCAGGCACUGGUACUAGGUCCAAUUAAAGAGAGGGUCCUUUAUGGCUUAAGCCCUUGCUCACUAUGCAUGUGUAUUACAUUAAACCUUUUAUUUUUCCCUUUUCUCUAGUUACCUUUCUGUGCAUUUUGGUCUAAAUUUUCAGAAAAUUGCAUGCACAGUUCCUACGAUUAUGCAUGUAAUCAAUUAGCUAUUUAUGUAUACGACUGUGACCAGGUAUGCAAAUCACCAAGCGGCUUUUGCCAUUUUUCAGUAAUUUAGGCCUUUGUCAUUUAUUCAUCCGCUUUUGUUUGAAACAGUAAGUUCAUGGAAAUUUAAUUCAUUUGAAACAUAUGCGUAGAUCCAUAUGAACUGCCCAAAAGCAUCACAAAGAGAAAGGAUAACCUUGUUGUUAAGGCAGGAGAGCGCGAAAUCUGGUUUCCAUUCCGAGUUCUGCCACACAUUUCCUGUGUAACCUUGGGCAAGUCAUGAACUGUAACCUAUCUAAGUGUGGCUGACCUACAUGUAAAGCAGACAGAGCAAUCUUGCUUCACAAGGCUAUUGAGACAUUUUGUUUGUUAGCACAUGUGAAAAACAUUGAAACAAGCAAAUGGAAGUUGCUAUAGAUGUAUAAGCUAUCAUUAGUGAUAUUAUAUAUAUGAUAUGUGAUUCAUAGUUGAUAAUGAAAUGUUAUGUAAAGGGGAAAAUGUGGCCAUUGAGAACUGAGCAAAGAAAAUGGCAAAGAAAUUCAAGUAAGGAGAUGAACAAGAAUCAAACAGUAAUGGUGAGCAUGAACAGGCAUGUGAGUAAUUAACCUUUAUACUGCAAUUUUUACUGUCCUAUUCGGUCUUGCCCUUUUACAAAAGGCUUAAGUGUCUGAAGACAUUUGAGAAGCAAAGAGUUAGUUAAUUCAGUACUACUGACCACCAUGCAGUCUGUUUGAUCAGCAUGAGUUCUUUAAACAGGAUAAUUCUGACAGUGAUACUUAUGCCAGGUAUUGGACAAAGGCUUGUGGAGAGCAUUAUGGUGUUCAACUGAUCAGGAUAGCCUGUUUGUUUAUAGGAAAAUGUGCCCUCUUUCUUCCCUUAUUCACCAGGAUGGAACUAUUAAGUCAGUAAUGUUGCUGUGGUUCCUUUGUUAUUUUCAGAUAAAAUGCAAUUAAAUUUGCACAUCUCUUCACCAUUUGGGGCACAGCCUUGUGGGAGGCAUAUAAAUCAUGAUAUAUUCUCUGAGAGUACAUCUCCUUUUAAAAAUUACCUAAUUUUGUAGCUGACCCAUGUGUGGCACUUACACUGACAUCAUUAGGAGUCUAGAGCAUGCUGAUUGCAGUAUCUGCCCCAACCAAAUGACUAAUACAGCAAAAUGCUCAGUAUGUUACUGAUCCAGCUAGGAUAAAAUGCUGCAUCUUGGGUCUCAGUUUCCAUUUUGAUUAACAGACCUUUUCCUUUUGAGAACUGAAACAAAGCAUUUGAGAAAAUGUGAUGGAUUUUUUCUUUACCUUAGUAAAACACUUUGAUGAGUCUUCACAUCACGUGUGAUAUUUUGGUUCCGAAAGUCAGAAGUGGCAGAGGAAAAUGGAAUGAAUGAAGAAAAUUCUAGUAGGUUUUUUUCAGCUUUGAGCAAAUAUUUUUAUUGUAUGCCUUGAUUCGUACCUCUUAUGUGAUGAUCAGCCUUUGAGUUUGUGUUCAGUCUGCAACUGAGAAAGCAAGCUUACUGAUAAUAUUCCUAAAUUUGCUGUAGUGAGCGUUGUGCUUCCAAUGUGAAAUGCUUAGCUGUGCAUGAAAUGAAAAUUUGAGAAGCACUGCUCUAUAGAAAGUGCACAGAGGUGCUUGGAAGCAAUGCUAUCUGUGAAACCUAGCUGAAAGGAACUCAUCAGAAAGAGCUACCAGCAGUUUUAUGUUCUCCUUUCCUGUUACAGUCCUUGCUUUCCCACACUUUGCUUUCUGCCCAAAAUAUGUAAUUUCGUAACUGACCUGAGAGGAACCAGCUAACCUAAACAGGCCUUCACAUGAAUUCUUCUCCGUGUUUAGCAUAGCUUCUACUCUUAGUUCAUUAUCUGGAGCAACUCAAACCACAGCACCUGUCCAACAUGUCCAGGCUGGGCACUGGGGGCUAUAGGGAAAGAACCACACGAGGCUAUUCGUGUGGCAUGCUCCUUGGGUGCAGAGCCUCCCACUUCAUCACACCCGCCUCCAGUGCUGCCAUGCUCCAUCAUGUCAACAGUCAUGCAGAAAAGCUACCCUGAUUCCCAUUAACAGUGUGCAAACAAUAAGGGGUGGUGUGAUAGGCCACCAUGACCUUCUGCAGCAUGUUGGCCUUCUGCAUUCACUGGAAUUCUUCUCUACUUGAAUUGGAGCAAAACUUUUGGAAAAAAGAUAUGAUCUUGAUUCAGUAUUUUCCAAUGAAGGAAAAUACACUAUAAACUUGGAGAGAUUAUUUCAAUAGCUAAUUAAAGCUAAUUAAAACUCUCUGAAAAUCACGAGGAAGGUCCUUAUCAGCUGCUGAGAAAGAAUCCAGAUUUACUGCUUUUAUAUAUAUUAAUUGCACGUGUUAAUUGUUUUGUUUUUGUUUUUGUUUUUUUAAUCACUGAUUGUAAUACAGAAAAGGGGGGAAAAAAACUGGUCAGCAGAAUGAUUAAAUGAAUCACUAUUUCUUUCCAGUUGAAGUGUUGGCUAAAGCUAUUAGAUGUUACCUUAAAAAUGGAGAAGUUGGACACGUGCAGUGGGAGUAGUUUCACCAAGCUGUCUUCAUUACAUCUGAGAUAGUUAAUGGAAAAAAACAGGCACAACGUGAUUCAUUUGAUCUUAGGCAUACACCUACCUUCCAUUCGAACAGAUGAAUCAUAUUUUUAGUAUGUGUGACAGUUAAGAAAAUUUGGGCAGCGGCCCUAAUUCAGAGCAACCAGGAAAUGGCCUGCUGAAAGUGAUCUACCUAAUGGAAACCUAUCUGCAAAUGGCAAGAUAGAGAGAAUGGACCUUUAGCUCAUAUCCAUGGUGUUAGGUCCUUGGAGUGCUGUGGAGAAGUACCCUAGAGCUGUCUCAUGACUAGUUUGUAAUGUAGUCCCACUGUCUGUAUGAUGUUAGGUACGAUUCUGGAGCUAGUGUGGGUCAUAUGAUUUAGAUGAACCUAGAAGGAAUUAAGUGCAUGCACUCUGUGAUGUGAACAAAUCACAGCAAGGGAAAGGCACUGGUCAUUCAUUUCAGACAUAUACUCUAGGUCUAUGUGGCAGCGCUAAUGUUGAGACAGCCCAAGUGCUUUGCCUUCAUGACAAAAAGGUACAUGGAUCUGUUCUGGCUAGAUCUCAGUUGGCAGUCAUUGUUUCUCUCUUCCAGAUAUUCAGUUAGACAUUCCCAAAGGUGAAUAAAGUAGUCUACUCCUUCUGUCUUGGCAUGUGUGGUUGCUGACUUCUGUCAAAUACAGAUUGUAUGUUCAGGACUGCGAUGUGUAUCAGCUUUGGAUAAAAGUGCCUAGGGAGCAGCUGUUUGCUUCAGUUUCAGACUACAGUUUAGCUACUACCUUUUGAGGAAGCAUUUAAUCAUCUCUGUUUCUCUUUCACCUGAACACAUGAUUAAGCUUACAGGCCAAAUCGGUUUGGUCAAAACCAGAUGUACAUCAAAUCUAGGCAAUGAAAUCCUUUCUCUUCAUACAAAUCCCCUGCUUCAGCACUGCAGAAAUACCCACUCACUUCUUUGCUUGGGUUUUUAUAAACCUACAGGUUUUAAAAGUAUUUGUUACUUUACACUUUGAUACUGGAUAUAAUUUCUUCCAUCAGUAAGGGAGAUAACCAGGAAUGAAGGCCUUUAAAUUCUAAGUUUAAGAAAGAGGAGAGAUCCAUCUUCCAUUCUUCCCUAAGUGUUACGCUCGCCUACAGGCUGUGUAGUUACAAAGAUGGAAACAAGAGCUCAGAUGAGAAACAUUGUUUCAAGGAUGUAGGGGGUCAUCACUGGAAUGUAAAGAGGUCGUUUUAUUUGUAGAAGACUCAGUAAUUGUCAGAGGAAUAUCAUCUACCUUCUUUAUCCUCCAAAGAAAUUAUCCAAUAGUUUGCAAUGAGGAUGGCUUUCCAGAGGAUUUGCUUUUGUUUGAGUCAUCGUCUCAAAAUAAAGAAAAAUAUUUUACUCUUAAAUUGUAAUUUUCCUUAACUCUUUAAUACCAGCUGAAAUUUAUACUGUUCCCAACCAACGUAUGCUUUUUACAUUUUCUCUCUCUUGUUAUACGCGUAAUCAAAUAAAUGGUCAAGAAUAAUAAUUUGCUGUACUUUUAACUUAAGAUCCAAAAAAAUUCCCCAAGAGAAGCUGGAUUUAAUUUCUAGACAGGGAAGCCGAGGCAGAGGGAGCUCUAGGGCUUUGCUUGGGAUCACACAGGAGGCCAGCAAUAGAGUUGGGAAUAAAAUCCAGGUGUGCUGGUUAAUUUCUACAUGCAGUUCCCUAACCAACACUAACCUCGCAAUCCCUUCUCUCUACAGCCGUAUCUCAUUUCUGUGUUUUGGAGAAGCGUUACUUUAGUGCAAGGUCCCAAAGCAAUACCGGUUGUCCUAGUUGAACUUACUGAAUUUUAAAACUCUGUAGUGUUUUGCACUGAAGUAUGAGACGUGUUUAUCCCACUUCUCAGUUCCUGUCACAGAAAUGAAACUCUCAUAAAUCUCAGUGCUUAUAAUGUCUGCUAUCAAAAGAUCGGGUCACUGAGAAUGAAGAAUGCGAUGGAACAUGACAAAAACGUUCAGCUGCUCCUGAGACAAAUAUAGCCAAGGGAGAUUCUCUUCCCCUAUCUUCUAAAGAGGCUUUUAAAACAUUAGUUGUGGAGCAGCAGGUAGUUGUUAACAUCUCUAAAGAGUGGUCCGUCCGCGCAUAGAUGCGGAGGUGGAAUUCGGAGCACUUGUCCGACCCAAGCAGGAAGAGGCUGUUCCGUUUAACGAGGGCAAGCCCAGCCACAAAGAAGUGAUAAUGGAGAUGCCAUUGACGACAGGGAUACAUGCAGAAGCCACAGAGAUUCCUCCUUUUGUCUCCAGACUGAUCACAAGGGCCAGAAUUCAUUCACACAUAGAAAGAAACAAUUGCCCGAAGUGCCCGAAGGAAAUGCGGAGAGUCGAGUCCCAGAUAGUGUAAACUAAUUAUCUUUCUCUUCAUGCAGAAGGAAAAUAUGCUCGUUCCAAGUUCACAUGCACAGAUAUCGAGCUGAUUUUUUAAUUAUUAUUAUUUUUUAAAACAGAAUCAGGCAAAUACUUUCUCUGCUUCCUCCCACAAAAUGCUUUGGGAUCUUUCAGCAAAUUCCAGCCAUCGAGUUGUUGCUUUUUCCAUUUGGUCUGAAAUACAUCCCUGUGUUGUUGUUGUUUGUUUGUUGUUUUGGUUGUUGUUGUUUCUUUUUGUCCUCCCCAAUUAGAUGAUCUUUAUUUUUCAUUCACCUCAGGUCUAGCUGCGUCGCUUUGACCUCUCUGUGAGGCCUGGGUAAAUCCUGAAGAUGCUGGGCCACAAUUCUUAAGAAGGAAACUUCAAGUUCUUUCCGCUUCACUUCCCCUUCACAUGUCUGAGGCAGUUAGCGUUGCUGCCCCAUAGUCUGCGUGGCAGGAGCUGUGUGCUAGCUGUGGCACCCAUUGUCUGCAUUUUUCCUCUCGUUAGUCUCCUUGACCUUUCAUUGUCUUACUCCUGCAGUGUCAGGUCAGACUUAGUGUAGGUCUCCCUUCAGUAAGGACCCCUUUCCUUUCGUGGAUCACUAAGCAGGACAAUUGCUCUAUCCAUCUUUUCAGGGUCUAUUGUCGAGCCCCCCCUGAGCUGAGAAAGGUUUGAUUCACUGGGAAACCAUUUUGGUCAAAGGGAAGCCUGACUAUGUGUCCUUUUAGGAACUCUGUCUUAAUCACUGACUUUUUUAUCUGGGAUAUGAAGAGGAUUCAGGAGAUCAAAAGGUUUGGGAGUACAUGGGUUUGACCACAUUUUUCCUAGAAAUAAUGGGAAACCUCCACUGAAAAAUGAGCUCCAUUACAAUGGGCAAACAAGAAGGAAAGCCACAUAGUGUUCCCAGAGCAUUCUGAAUCAUCGGACCUUCAAUAGCUUCCAUAAAGAAGGGAAAAAGUAAACAGAAAAAGUAAAUGGAAUGUAAUAAUUAAUGGACCUGAAGAAUCAGACUCAUUUUAUUUACGCAUAAUCGGUGCUUUUGAAAAAAAGUUAAGUCCAAAGAAAUUGACAGAGCAGAUGGAGAAGACUUCUUGGUGACUGGAAGUUCAGUUGGGCUGAGCAUGUAGUGGACACACAUGUAGUUACUCAGAAUUAGUAGCUUGUGUCACCUUGACAAGUCAAUGGUUCCACAUUCUUCCUAGGACCAUGAAAAGUUGCAGAGGUCUUGCUGAGCACCACAGUGGAACUAUGCUGGGUUUGAAGGCACUAACUUCAUCACUAGGUAUUAUGUCGUGUUGAGCCAUGUACAUGCUAAUGCCUUGAAAAUUUCAUCCUGCUUGGGACAGACAUCCAGACGUCUACUUUUUGUGGGCAUUAUCUGUGCCUUUCGUGGCUUUGAAAUGCACCUCAGUAUUAGCAAGUUUAAAUAUAAACUUCAGUAUUUGCUCAAGUGUUUUUCUGAGUCAAAUAAAAAGUGGCAGCUGGAUGUUACGAGUGCCUGUGUGCUGGCUUUUGGAUGAGGAUCUGCAGCAGGCUUCAAACGAGGUCAAACUUAGAGGUUACACUUUUAUUCCCCAGCAAGAAGGGGGGAAACAAAAGCAGAAAACUCAUCUUAAAAGAAAAAUUCUCACCAGGUAUAUAGACUAUAAAGUGAUACCAUACCAGACCAGACUAUACGUCUGAAAUGUUUCAAGGAGAGAUGGGUGUAGAACUGGAUGAGAUGUGAAGCAUUCCUAUUUUCUGUACUGAAAUUUCUAAACCUGAUGUGUUUUCAUUGGUAAACAGACAUAAUUGUUUGGACAUUUACAUUAAGAAUGCUUAGAAUAAUUUGGUUUGUUGUUUGUUUUUGGUUUUUUUUUGUUUACUGGUGUAUCUGUAUACAGUAACUUUUAUGCCAUCUUAAUGUGCUCCUGCCAUUUGACUUCACACCGUCAGCUGAUCUCUUAAUACCAGCAGUGCCAUUUUCUGUCAACACUAUUAAGUAGAGAUGUCCAGGAUAUUAAAUGUGCUUGAAUUUAUGUCCAAGAGGAAGGGGAAAAGUGAUUCGAGCACUUCCUGAACUGUAGAAACACCCGAAUUGUGCUUUGGUGGAAUUGCUCCAGAUAAAGAACUGUUCCAGAAGAAUAUUUAGUUCUGAUUCUUAGCAGCACUAAACAUCUUUUUUUUCUAUAAACAAGUGCCAAACAUAUGAGGAGAAAAUAUGGGCUGGUAGAAUUAGUAUAACUGCAGUUUUAGACUUCCCAAAGGCAGGAGAGUGCUCUAGGAUAUAUUUCAGCUACAUCAGGGAAGGCCUUCAUAUAACAGAAGUGAAGUCUUGUGAGGCUAAACUGUUUUGGAAAAUGGUUGCAUUUUGUAUAAUGUUCAGUCCUGAUAAAGAGAGUUUUGCUGAAUAUUUCUAAGGACUAACUAUCACAAAUUCACAGUAGGCAGAAAAGCCACCAAUUUCACCCAUGUAGUGAAGAUUCAAGUCAUGGCCUGAAGCAGUGAUUGAGCGCCUGGUGAGAAGGCAGGGCCAAUCCAGGGGAGCUCAGGUGCAUGCAGUGCCCCUUCUCAAACUUCUUUUAAGGGUUGGCAGUGGAGGCAAGGUUAUUUUGCUAGAGAUCCCUGUGUGCCUGAGGUAAGCAGAGGCUUUUUAUUUGUUUGUUUUCCUUUCUGUGUCUGUAGUUGCUGCAUUUGAGCAUAUCCUUUCUUGCUGCAUUCUAGGACUUUGCUACUAUGUAGUCACUUCUGUGCUUUCCAUUGCAUUACAACCUGGUAUUGCAUUAUGAAAGUUACUUUAUGUGUUUUUAAUGACUUUACGAAGGGGAUCUAAUCCAGAGCCUUUAACUGUAGUGUGCUUCAUGUGGCUAAAAAUGUUACAUCAAAAAACACCCUACAGGAAAAUAUAUUUAAUGAGUAAGAGAGAUAAAUGGUUUUCAGUGACUUCCAUGGCUAGCACUGCAGCUAUUGAUAGAAGCUUUCUUCAUCUAGGGUGUUUUUUAUCGAUUACUAAAGCUAUUACCUCUUCCUACCUGUCAGCAGGGCAUAGCAUGCAAGGGCUUUCUAAUGUGCUUCUGUCAAAAUCAACUAGAUUAUUUUUAUCUGAGCAUCCGUUACAUGGGAGCCUUUAACGAAAUUAAGUUUACCUCAUUUAAAGGUCUUGUGUGUGUGGAUAUUUUGAGAGGUCUCAUUGUUUACUCUUGGAUGGGCUACUACUCAUCUUACCUUUGAAAACACCAUGCUUUCCAUGGCUAUCCUCACAAUUCAGCUUUUCUUGACAAUCUGCUUUUAGUAAAAGUGAUUGUGGUCCUCAGGAGAAAUUAAUAUUCCUAACUGAGAACUAAAUCAAGAAUUUAACUUAGCACAGAUAAGUCUCAUGUAGUUUGUAAGUCCUGAUACUGCCUUCCUUCUCUGUUGGUAGAUUGGUGGGGGCAAACCUCUAUCAAAGUGAUGAUAAAAGGAGGAAGGUCACCUCCUCUGUUAGCACAUCUGGAUCAGGAAGAGGAUAAUUUACUAUCCUCACCCUAAACUCCCACUGAAGUGAACAAUCUUUUUCCUCACAAAGAGCUAGUGGCUCUGCUGCAUAUUUAACUGAAAUGGUAAUAUGGUCAGUUAAAUAGCUGAAGAUCUAAGAACUAUAAUAUGAUUGAACUAAUUGCUUCCAGAGGGCAAGAAACAGAAAGAAGCUGUAAAAAGGUAUGCAGUAUUUGAAAAUCAGUUUUUUUUUUCCUUCACGUAACACUGUUUGUAGAGCUUUAAAUGCCAGAUGGAACAUAAAUUGCUAACUAUUAUUUCUUGUAAGUGUUCACGUUUUCAUGUCUUUUGUUAAAUCUUAAUCUCCAUAUGUUGGUUCAUGCUAAUAGCUUCCACAGUAACAUGAGGUACAUACAGGUGGGCAAAAUGAUGGUGUGUUCUGAGUAGUUACAGUUAGUUGCUAACUGUUGGUGUUGAAUUCAGCCUUGUAAUUUUCUAAUAUUGAGAUAAUGAGUAAGUGGAAAACUGUAUUAACUCCUCUUUUGUAACAGCUUCAUCAGUAAGUAGCUGGUUAAAGGAAAGAUUCCCACUAACUUUAGUGGUCUGUGAAUCAAGCUCUUGAUAUAUAUAGAAGGUCCCUGAAAACAAAGUUUUAUUUUUUAAUGUAUUGUCUCAUUUGUUGAAUAGCAUGGCUUACUGCCCAGUGUUAUGGCUGUUCACAAUGACUAUUCUUCCCACCCAUUCUCCUCCUCCUUCCAUUAAUCGGUGAUGGGUUGAAUUCAAAUGUUUUGGAAGUUCAGUCUGGUUUUGAUGUGAUGGUACGUAAAAAUAUCUACAAAGUAGUUAUUAGGGUGCUUGGUGUGGCUGCAUUUGUCCUGGGGAAACCUCCCCCUUCUUUCUGAGAGCAGCAGCACAUUUUGUGGGAAGGUUGGCAGCUCUACAAGGUCCUCUUCGAGGCAGGCUCCACUCCCUCUGCCCCAGUGGUACAUCCAUCAUUUUUGGUUUUCCUUUCCAAAAUGCUUUUCACAAAAGUCACUUCCUUGUUUCACAUUACUCCAUGCUCUGUGAAUUCAGACUGGAACAUGCUGCGAACCAGAUCCAUAUCUGGUGUAAAUCAGCAUCAUCCUGCUACUCUCAGUGGAACUGCAAAAUUUGGUAUCUGUGGAGGAUCUUGCCCAUGAACUCUAAGCAGUCAUUGUUGGUAGAGAGAAAAUGGGUUUGUGUGUUUGGGGAGAGAUACUAGAAGGGACAGUAAAUGGAAAAUCCUACCUAAACAUUAAGGUGUUUAUCUUCGCUAACCUUUCUAACAUGAUAAUUUUGGAUGAACUUCUGCUCUUAUUACCCUCAUACUGUCCAUUUCCAGGUGCUAGAAAUUGGUGUGGAAGAAAAGAAAGGGUCUGAGCUGUUGAUGCUGUAUAAAAGAGCUCAAUUAAUAUAAUCAUGAAAUUACUUUGUAUAAACGUUUCCUCUGCACUCUCACUUCUGUCUGUAACUGCUCAUGCUAAGCACCUAUUUCAAAAGUUGGUCCGAGUUUAUUAAAGGAUGCAUUUAGUCAGA